UACGUAGGGUGCAAGCGUUGUCCGGAUUUAUUGGGCGUAAAGAGCUCGUAGGCGGUCUGUCGCGUCGGAUGUGAAAACCCAGGGCUCAACCCUGGGCCUGCAUUCGAUACGGGCAGACUAGAGUGUGGCAGGGGAGACUGGAAUUCCUGGUGUAGCGGUGAAAUGCGCAGAUAUCAGGAGGAACACCGGUGGCGAAGGCGGGUCUCUGGGCCGAUACUGACACUGAGGAGCGAAAGCGUGGGGAGCGAACAGG
rnacentral:rRNA from 1 species